GCGGGAGGAGGAAGAAGGGGUCAGCUUCAAGCCUGACGUUCUAGGGGGGAGCCGCUUCUUAAGUACGUGCUAGGAUCAAGGGUGCAUUUGCAAACUUUUCAAAAUGCCUUAGAGGAGGUAGGAGUCAAGCCCUUGGGAUCUGGAGGGGAAGGAGGAGAGUCAGUUAAACCGCAGAAAGGUUGGUGGGGAGUGGGCUCAGUAAUGGCCCCUGUCACAGCCUCGGGCCGGGACUCGCCAGCUCAUUUUCUAUUUCUAACUCAAUGCCAGGCACUGAGCACUGUGCUCAACCUAGUAAUUUGGAGACGGAGGUGGAUAUGCAUAUAACAGAACAGGAUGCUCUCCGGACAAACGUUCUGAAGGAAAAGCAAACGGAAGAUCCUCCCGCCUCUGCUGGGCAGUCUCUAAUGACCCCUGGGCCCACAGGACACUUGCUCUCUCUUUCUUGUGACCCCAACAUGUCAGCUGGCAAGACUCAACAUUCCUGUCUGGGACUGAGCAGCUUGAACCACUUGUAUGAGUCACAGAAAAGGAGAAUCAUACCCCCAUUCCACCACCCCACUCCAACCCCUCCACUGUGGCUCCAAUGUUACAGACCACUCCUAACUUCAGUCCCGGAAGAAUGGAAGGAAGGCUGCAACUUAAGAGACUGCGGUUAGAAGUGAUCUUCAUAAAUUGUUUGCCUUGCCUGUGUCUAGAGUCCUUAAGAUGGAGUGAAGGUACCUGAGCGCAGGAACCAUGGUCUUCAUUGCUGCCUCAGCAUUAGCGGAAGUGCCACGGGCCGGCUCCCAGGGGGCCAGAGUUUCCCAGGAACACCAUUGAGUACCACUGAACUAGAGUCUGCAAGUUAAAGUAAGGCAAGAAGGAAAACCGGAAACAACUGUAAAAACCUGACCUUUCGUCACCUUAAUACUGGCCAUCAUUUAUCGAGUGCUUAUUAUGUAACAGACAUUGUUCUCAGUGUGUGAGUGCAGUGUUCCUCAAACCUAAAUGUGGGCCUGAAUCGCAGCGGAUCUUGGUAAAAUGCAGUUUCUCAUUCAGUACCUCUGGGGUGCGGCCUGAGAUUCUGCAUUUCCAACAAGCUCCCAGGAUACUUUGUAUAGAAAGGCUUUGGUGUAUUAACUAACUCGAUCUUCUUAAUAAUCCUAUGAAAUACUACUGCUAUUCCCAUUUUACAGAUGAGGAAACAGAGGUUAAGCAUAUAUGAACUUACAUCAAAAUAAAUAGACUGCAGGGCAAGGAGGGAGGGGAGAAUAGUGUGGGCAGUGUACAGUGCAGAAACAAAGUUCUAGGCAGAGGAAAAAGGAUUUACAGAAAGCCUGGCAUACAGGGCAGGGGGACGGGGCCUGCACACGGGGCUGUUUCACCGUUAGACGUUAUAAGCACAGUACUUGGGGCUAUGGGCUUCCUGAAGGUCCCAAGUAUUUGAGACCUGAAAAAAAUUUAUUGACACCUACAUAGGAAAAGUGAACUUUUAAAUUAAUAAUUCCAAAAUUCAAAUCACGAAUUGUUUCAAAAAUUUUACAUGAUAGAAUUCAUAUUUAGUAAGCGAUACGGGUAUAUUUUAAUGCAUUUGAUUUUAAAAACGGGGUAGGGCCUACUAAGAACAGGCCAAGCCCUGGCCCCAGUGGGUUUGGAUAUAAUCCUGAGGGCAGCUGGGAACCACUGAGAGAAGCAGGAGAAUGUUCUCUGUGGCUACAGUGAGGAGAAUGGAUUGGAGGGAGGCCAGACUGGAGGCCCAGUGGCUAGAGACCAGAUAGGCAGUUACAGUCUUCCAGACUGCGAGACAAUCUCUCUUUAGUGCCAAGAUUAGCAUAAAAUCAUAGCAUUAUAUAACCCAAUUAUUCUUUGAUUCCUGCAUCCCCAAUCUGACUCAGCAUUCUAAAUUUACUUAAGAUCUGGGGACAAGGGUUUUUGGCAAAUCCUUGAAGGCAAAUGAUGUUACAGUCAAUCAGUAUAUGCCUUGAGCCAGACAGACAUGGGUACGGGCCUCAGUUCUGCUGCUUGCUAGCUAUGUGACUUUGCACAAGUGAUUUAACUUCUCUGGGCCUUGGAUUCCUUACUGGUAACACGAGCAUAAUCGAUUCCUCACAGAAUUAAGUGAGAAAACUAUGUAUGUAGGACUUCUUAUGGAGUGGGUACUUAGAAAUAAAUGGUAGCCGUUA
rnacentral:lncRNA from 1 species